ensembl:lncRNA
CGUUUCAGCUUUUCUUCUAAGUCCACGAAAUUCUCAUUUCUCUGUCAGAGAUAGGAGAGAGCUGCACUGAGAACAUCAGGCUGUGCUCCGAGGCACACACAGCUUGGAUGUGCUGCAGCACAAAAGCAUUUAACAUCUCCCACAUAGCAGGCACAGCUGGCACUUGAGAUAACAAGUCCAAGGAUGAAAGUGGUGGUGGAACAACCCACAGACCCUCUGUCCUUCCCACACAGCAGUCACACUGGGGGAUCAAUGCUGCCCCAUUGCCACUUGCUCUACUGGGUGUUGGAGGAGGAAGAAUUAAAACCUUUUCUGGGGAGUCUUUGCUCUGGGGAGCCACAUAACAGUAGUGAGAAAGACUUGAGAGCAGUUCCUGUUUCCUAAUGCACUUCGAAGAAUGAACAAAUCUUGUAAACCAUAAACAUCCGUUCCCAGUGUCACUGAAGACUGUUGAGGGAACGCAGGGAUUCUGCAAACCAAGGACUCUACUUGGUAAAGAACUGCCCUUCAGCUAUAGUUUAUCUAUUUGUUUGCUUUCAUACAUUUUAACCAAUAGCAUGACGUGCUGUGAUUCUGAGUUGCUGUGUCCUUUUUUUUCUUUUCAGGGCAGAUAUAGGCAACAGUGAAUUUUCUGUACUCAAUAUUUAGUCUGUAUAGCAUAAAAGGAUAACAAAAUGCUACUUGUCUCAGUGCACUGGGGUGUGUGCCACCUAUAACCUGUUAAAGGAAAUAAGGACAUUGAACUAGAUAUAUAUGAUCUGUGUUUUAGUUUUGCAUUUUUUUUUAAUUGCCUGUUACUUCAUUGCCCAAGGUCAGUCUUUGUCAGACAAGUGGACCAACAGUUCUCUAGAGUAACAUAAAACCAUUAAGUUGCUCUUUGAUCUUGCACCUUCUUUAGAACCUUUUAAUCAAUUAACCAUGAAGCUACUCAGCUUGUCUUAUUUCCUGCACAUAAAACUACUUUGGUCUAGCUGACAUGUUACUACAUUAUAGAUCAAAGAUUGAAGGAAACUUCACAUCCAGCCAGGAUAAUUAUGUGGAUUUUUUUCUGUAUCUAUUAGAUAAUUUUUCAUCCCUCAGAUAGAGGAAAACAGCAUUUUGAUCUAGAUUGAAUAAAGGAUUUGUGUGUAUUUUAAAGGGUGACUAAAUGGAUUUUAGUAUAAUUGACCUUACUCGGGAUGUGAACUAUUUCAUGGCUAGUUUGCUGAGCCUCAACUGUCCCUAUAUAUAUUGAGAGUACCCACUAUUGAUAAUAAGAGAAAACAUGACCUACGGGAAUAGGAGCACUGGUCUCUUUUUUAGGAUACCUCUAAACAAGAUAGAGAAAUUAAAUACUGAAUGUACUGUAAUGUGAUGCAAAUCAAAAUCCUUUUAGUCCAGGAAUUCAAGUUUGAUAUAGUUGUGGUUUCAGGCUUGUAGGCUCACACUUCUGCAAUUUUACUGGUCGAUAGUAAAACUUUUUAUCAAAGGAAUCAGAGAUCCCCUCAGUAUUAUAUUCUUUUAGAUCUGUGGAUGUUUAUAUUAGUACUUACUAGUUAUAUGGAAAUUAAGGUGUCUCAAAAUCUACUCCCCAUUCCUUCUGGACAAAUCCUAGAUUACACAAACUUACUUAAUUUACCUCUUUCUGAGCUUCCCCCUGAAGUGCACAGAGUGUCACCCAUACUGGUCCUAUGCAGCAAAACAUCUGCUUACUUGGGUUUUGUUCCAGGCAUAUUUUGCACAGCUGCUUCCUGUGGCAUCGGCAUAUUCUCCUUAUGCUUCCUGAUGCUGAAAGCUGAGCUGGCCUGGCCCACAUGUAAGAGUGUCACCAGGUGUAUGCAUUGGCAGCACCUGGAAAUAUAAAGAAUCAGCAUAAUUUCUUAAGAAAAAACAAUGCCCUAUUAUGUUGUAUGUUUUUUUCUUUUUGUUGUUUGUUUGUUUUUGUUUUUAAGUAGUAAAGCAGCUUCUUUUGAAAGUAGAUUCUUUUGAAAGAAUCUGCUUUGUGAAAUGGUGGUGUAGAAUAUUCUUCAUAGAUAUCCCCCUAUUCUCUGAAGGUGUACCUUAUAUCUAGACUCUCUACACUUCAAAGUAGAUAGGAAAUGGGAACCCUUGUAGCUGUUAUAAAUCACAUUAUUUUCAUGCUAAGUUUAAGCCAUGCUCUAUUUGCAAAUCUGUAUUGAUUUUUCUGAAUGUUAUGCUUCCUUUAACUAAACAGGUCCCCGCUGAUGUUUGUCAUCUUCCUUGUAAGCUG